rnacentral:piRNA from 1 species
UCCUUCAGAGUGUCCUCAGCUACGACUC